GAUGAACGCUGGCGGCGUGCCUAAUACAUGCAAGUCGAGCGAACGGACGAGAAGCUUGCUUCUCUGAUGUUAGCGGCGGACGGGUGAGUAACACGUGGAUAACAUACCUAUAAGACUGGGAUAACUACGGGAAACCGGAGCUAAUACCGGAUGAUAUUUUGAACCGCAUGGUUCAAAAGUGAAAGACGGUCUUGCUGUCACUUAUAGAUGGAUCCGCGCUGCAUUAGCUAGUUGGUAAGGUAACGGCUUACCAAGGCAACGAUGCAUAGCCGACCUGAGAGGGUGAUCGGCCACACUGGAACUGAGACACGGUCCAGACUCCUACGGGAGGCAGCAGUAGGGAAUCUUCCGCAAUGGGCGAAAGCCUGACGGAGCAACGCCGCGUGAGUGAUGAAGGUCUUCGGAUCGUAAAACUCUGUUAUUAGGGAAGAACAUAUGUGUAAGUAACUGUGCACAUCUUGACGGUACCUAAUCAGAAAGCCACGGCUAACUACGUG
rnacentral:rRNA from 1 species